rnacentral:rRNA from 1 species
ACAUGCAAGUGGUAGGAAACCGAAAGGCGACCGACCUUCGGGAGCUUGCACAGGUGCUGCAUGGCUGUCGUCAGCUCGUGUCGUGAGAUGUUCGGUUAAGUCCGCUAACGAGCGCAACCCUCGCUGUGUGUUACAAGUGUCACACGGUACUGCCGGUCUUAAGCCGGAGGAAGGUGGGGAUGACGUCAAGUCAGCAUGGCCUUUAUGUCCUGGGCUACACACACGCUACAAUGGCCAACACAAUAGGUUGCUAAGCCGCGAGGUGGAGCCAAUCCUCAAAGUUGGUCUCAGUUCAGAUUGCAGGCUGCAACCCGCCUGCAUGAAGAUGGAGUUGCUAGUAACCGCAGGUCAGCUAUACUGCGGUGAAUACGUUCCCGGGGCUU